rnacentral:lncRNA from 1 species
UCGUGGGAGGGUAGAAAGCCAUGGCCAGAGAACACCAAAACAUUCCAAAUAAAAACCAAAGCACCAAGAAUGACAAAAUCUUCUCCAACUUAGUAACCACAAAGUCAUGUCGAAGUUGACAUCUAGCUCAGUCAAAGUAAACAAUGAUACCAUGCCCAAAGUCGGCACCCAAAACUUAGUCAAAACAAAACAACGAAGUAGUAUGAAAGUAAAUACUUCCUUAAGAUCGGUAAUGCCAAAAUGAAGCCCAUGGUGACAUCGGGCCGAAAUGGCCUCAAAUUAGUAACACAAAGCAAAAGUCCGCCUCGAAAUGGCGACACCAAACCAAGACAACCUAAGAUCA